rnacentral:lncRNA from 1 species
CCGGCAUCUAGACUCAUCCCAUUUUGUAAGCAAACCAAGUAAUCAAUACAUAAACAAAGGCAAAUAAAAUGUCGACAUUUCAACAUGCUCGACAACCGUGUAACAUUUUUGUAACACAAUUCAUUGUAUUAAGGCUAGCAACAACUAAAAUGUCAAAAUCAAUAAAAAAAACAAAAAAUGAAACAGUUCAACUUGAAGUCUACUACUUUUUACAUGGACAUGAAAUAAAAAACUAAUUCUCACCAAGUACAUAGACAGACUACAUUCACAAAUCCCUUCAAUUUUUUUUUUCCCGUUCUCUUCCAUAGCUCCUUUUCCCUUGCAUAUGGAUUUCUGCAAAAUGUUUGAACAUAGUCGAUAGAUCGUCAAUUAGAGGUGUAGGAUUGUAUUUCCCCAAACAAAUACAUAUUGAUCCAAAUGAAUAACAGACCUAUGUUUUCGGUCUUCUUUUCUACUUCCAUCCAUUUCAGAAAGCCUGAAGCACAAUUUCGACAUCACUACUUUUUUUGGCAGUCCCGCAGUUGGUGUCCCGACUAUCUAUAACAGUAAGAAAUUCCCUUUUUCUUUCCUACACAACAAAAAGAUACUGAAGAAUGUCAACAUUCCUGAUAUGUAGAAAAUAGUUAAAAUGUGGACAAUUUUGAUAAAUACAGUUAAUAAUUCAAAGAGGUAUUUCUACAAAGCCAGACGUCCAAGAUACUUCUACAAUGCCACUCAUAUUUGUUAUUCUGAAUGUAAUAGAUCUGAUUUAUCCACCAAAUAUUAUAUCAAUAUAUUGAUAUGCUCAGAAUAGAUCCACUUAAAAACGCAGGUACAACAGUCACAAUGUGAAGAAACAUUUGAGAUGACGCACAUAUAAACCUACGAAAAUUAGAAGCACCACACUUUUAUUAUGAAGUC